rnacentral:rRNA from 1 species
CAGCCGCCACGGUAAUACGUAGGUGGCAAGCGUUGUCCGGAAUUAUUGGGCGUAAAGCGCGCGCAGGUGGUUUAAUAAGUCUGAUGUGAAAGCCCACGGCUCAACCGUGGAGGGUCAUUGGAAACUGUUAAACUUGAGUGCAGGAGAGAAAAGUGGAAUUCCUAGUGUAGCGGUGAAAUGCGUAGAGAUUAGGAGGAACACCAGUGGCGAAGGCGGCUUUUUGGCCUGUAACUGACACUGAGGCGCGAAAGCGUGGGGAGCAAACAGGAUUAGAUACCCCUGUAGUCCCUGUCUCUUAUAC